rnacentral:rRNA from 1 species
UGGUCAAGUUAUUAAGGGUGCAGGGCGGAUGCCUUGGCACUAGGAGCCGAUGAAGGACGUGAUAAGCUGCGAUAAGCUUCGGGGAGUUGCACGUAAACUUUGAUCCGAAGAUUUCCGAAUGAGGAAACUCACUUAGAGUAAUGUCUAAGUAUCAUUAAGUGAAUACAUAGCUUAAUGAGGGGAACUCAGGGAACUGAAACAUCUAAGUACCUGAAGGAAGAGAAAGAAAUUCGAUUCCGUAAGUAGCGGCGAGCGAACGCGGAUUAGCCCAAACCAAUAAAGUUUUCUUUAUUGGGGUUGCGGACAUAUCAUAACGAAGAGGUAUCGUAAUUGAAGAGGUUUGGAAAGACCCACCACAGAAGGUAAUAGUCCUGUAUGUUAAACGAGAAGACUUCAGAUAUGAUCCAGAGUACCACGGGACACGUGAAACCCUGUGGGAAGCAGGAGGGACCACCCUCCAAGGCUAAAUACUACCUAGUGACCGAUAGCGUAUAGUACCGUGAGGGAAAGGUGAAAAGAACCCCGGGAGGGGAGUGAAAUAGAACCUGAAACCCUGCACUUACAAGCUGUGGAAGCACAUUUCUUGUGUGACCGCGUACUUUUUGUAGAACGGGCCAACGAGUUACGUUAAGUAGCAAGGUUAAGCACUUAAGGUGCGGAGCCGUAGCGAAAGCGAGUUUUAACUGAGCGUUCAGUUACUUGACGUAGACCCGAAACCGGGCGACCUACCCAUGAGCAGGAUGAAGCGAAAGUAAAAUUUCGUGGAGGUCCGAACCCAC